GCGGCGCAUUAGCUAGUUGGUAGGGUAACGGCCUACCAAGGCGACGAUGCGUAGCCGACCUGAGAGGGUGAUCGGCCACAUUGGAACUGAGAGACGGUCCAGACUCCUACGGGAGGCAGCAGUGGGGAAUAUUGCACAAUGGGCGAAAGCCUGAUGCAGCAACGCCGCGUGAGUGAAGAAGGUUUUCGGAUUGUAAAGCUCUGUCUUUGGGGACGAUAAUGACGGUACCCAAGGAGGAAGCCACGGCUAACUACGUGCCAGCAGCCGCGGUAAUACGUAGGUGGCGAGCGUUGUCCGGAAUUACUGGGCGUAAAGAGUGCGUAGGCGGAUAUUUAAGUGAGAUGUGAAAUACCCGGGCUUAACCCGGGCACUGCAUUUCAAACUGGAUAUCUAGAGUGCGGGAGAGGAGAAUGGAAUUCCUAGUGUAGCGGUGAAAUGCGUAGAGAUUAGGAAGAACACCAGUGGCGAAGGCGAUUCUCUGGACCGUAACUGACGCUGAGGCACGAAAGCGUGGGUAGCAAACAGGAUUAGAUACCCUGGUAGUCCACGCCGUAAACGAUGAGUACUAGGUGUAGGAGGUAUCGACCCCUUCUGUGCCGCAGUAAACACAAUAAGUACUCCGCCUGGGAAGUACGAUCGCAAGAUUAAAACUCAAAGGAAUUGACGGGGGCCCGCACAAGCAGCGGAGCAUGUGGUUUAAUUCGAAGCAACGCGAAGAACCUUACCUGGACUUGACAUACCCUGAAUAUCUUAGAGAUAAGAG
rnacentral:rRNA from 1 species